rnacentral:rRNA from 1 species
GGCGUGCUUAACACAUGCAAGUCGAACGGAAAGGCCCUGCUUUUGUGGGGUGCUCGAGUGGCGAACGGGUGGGUAACACGUGAGUAACCUGCCCUUGACUUUGGGAUAACUUCAGGAAACUGGGGCUAAUACCGGAUAGGAGCUCCUGCUGCAUGGUGGGGGUUGGAAAGUUUCGGCGGUUGGGGAUGGACUCGCGGCUUAUCAGCUUGUUGGUGGGGUAGUGGCUUACCAAGGCUUUGACGGGUAGCCGGCCUGAGAGGGUGACCGGCCACAUUGGGACUGAGAUACGGCCCAGACUCCUACGGGAGGCAGCAGUGGGGAAUAUUGCACAAUGGGCGGAAGCCUGAUGCAGCAACGCCGCGUGCGGGAUGACGGCCUUCGGGUUGUAAACCGCUUUCGCCUGUGACGAAGCGUGAGUGACGGUAAUGGGUAAAGAAGCACCGGCUAACUACGUGCCAGCAGCCGCGGUGAUACGUAGGGUGCGAGCGUUGUCCGGAUUUAUUGGGCGUAAAGGGCUCGUAGGUGGUUGAUCGCGUCGGAAGUGUAAUCUUGGGGCUUAACCCUGAGCGUGCUUUCGAUACGGGUUGACUUGAGGAAGGUAGGGGAGAAUGGAAUUCCUGGUGGAGCGGUGGAAUGCGCAGAUAUCAGGAGGAACACCAGUGGCGAAGGCGGUUCUCUGGGCCUUUCCUGACGCUGAGGAGCGAAAGCGUGGGGAGCGAACAGGCUUAGAUACCCUGGUAGUCCACGCUGUAAACGGUGGGUACUAGGUGUGGGGUCCAUUCCACGGGUUCCGUGCCGUAGCUAACGCUUUAAGUACCCCGCCUGGGGAGUACGGCCGCAAGGCUAAAACUCAAAGGAAUUGACGGGGCCCCGCACAAGCGGCGGAGCAUGCGGAUUAAUUCGAUGCAACGCGUAGAACCUUACCUGGGUUUGACAUGGAUCGGGAGUGCUCAGAGAUGGGUGUGCCUCUUUUGGGGUCGGUUCACAGGUGGUGCAUGCCUGUCGUCAGCUCGUGUCGUGAGAUGUUGGGUUAAGUCCCGCAACGAGCGCAACCCUUGUUCACUGUUGCCAGCACGUUAUGGUGGGGACUCAGUGGAGACCGCCGGGGUCAACUCGGAGGAAGGUGGGGAUGACGUCAAGUCCUCAUGCCCCUUAUGUCCAGGGCUUCACGCAUGCUACAAUGGCUGGUACAGAGAGUGGCGAGCCUGUGAGGGUGAGCGAAUCUCGGAAAGCCGGUCUCAGUUCGGAUUGGGGUCUGCAACUCGACCUCAUGAAGUCGGAGUCGCUAGUAAUCGCAGAUCAGCAACGCUGCGGUGAAUACGUUCCCGGGGCUUGUACACACCGCCCGUCAAGUCAUGAAAGUUGGUAACACCCGAAGCCGGUGGCCUAACCGUUGUGGGGGAGCCGUCGAAGGUGGGACUGGUGAUUAGGACUAAGUC